rnacentral:lncRNA from 1 species
ACAGGGAGAAGUGAUGGAAGGUCACAUGGGAGCCUGAGACAAGAAUUCUAAAGUCCCAACUGAAAAACACUCUCUCUCCUAGAGAAGACUUUGGAGAAAUUGGAGGUUUUCCAUCUGUCUACCAGUUUUCUGGCCCUUUGGGAGAUAACCAGCUUGAGUGAGAGAGAUCCUGCUUGGAUUCACUGCUAGCAGCUGGACAGAAGAUCAAAAAAAUCACUUCUCUACUGGACCUACUUUGGACAUUUUCUUCUGACGAUCUUGGCUCAUAUACUGGACUCUAUUUGGAGAAAGAAUGUAAAGGGGGAGAGUGAGAACAUGGAUUGCAAAAUGUAUGCAUAUCAACUAUAUACCUCUGAAAUGAGUUUAAUAAGAAGACUAUAUAGUAUUUAUAUUGUACCUACUAUGUGCCAGGAACUGUGCUAAGAUAUUCCCAAUAAUCCUGGGUGGUAAGUUCUUUUAUUAUUCUCAAUUUAUACUUGAGGAAACUGAGGCAAAUAGAGGUUAAACUAGUAAGUAUCUCAGGCCAGAUUUGAACUCCAGUCUCCUUGACUCCAGGCUUA